ACGUACGCUGGCGGCACGCCUAACACAUGCAAGUCGAACGAAGUAGCAAUACUUAGUGGCAGACGGGUGAGUAACAUGUAGGUAUCUGCCCUUUGGCCUGGAAUAACACGAGGAAACUUGUGCUAAUACCGGAUAAGUCUUUACGGAGAAAGCUUUAUGCACCAUUGGAUGAGCCUGCACUUGAUUAGUUUGUUGGUGGGGUAAUGGCCUACCAAGACUGUGAUCAAUAGCUGAUUUGAGAGGAUGAUCAGCCACAUUGGGACUGAGACACGGCCCAAACUCCUACGGGAGGCAGCAGUGGGGAAUCUUGCACAAUGGAGGAAACUCUGAUGCAGCGAUGCCGCGUGAGUGAAGAAGGCCUUUGGGUUGUAAAGCUCUUUCGUCGGGGAAGAAAAUGACUGUACCCGAAUAAGAAGGUCCGGCUAACUUCGUGCCAGUAGCCGCGGUAAUACGAAGGGACCUAGCGUAGUUCGGAAUUACUGGGCUUAAAGAGUUCGUAGGUGGUUGAAAAAGUUAGUGGUGAAAUCCCAGAGCUUAACUCUGGAACUGCCAUUAAAACUUUUCAGCUAGAGUAUGAUAGAGGAAAGCAGAAUUUCUAGUGUAGAGGUGAAAUUCGUAGAUAUUAGAAAGAAUACCAAUUGCGAAGGCAGCUUUCUGGAUCAUUACUGACACUGAGGAACGAAAGCAUGGGUAGCGAAGAGGAUUAGAUACCCUCGUAGUCCAUGCCGUAAACGAUGUGUGUUAGACGUUGGAAAUUUAUUUUCAGUGUCGCAGGGAAACCGAUAAACACACCGCCUGGGGAGUACGACCGCAAGGUUAAAACUCAAAUGAAUUGACGGGGACCCGCACAAGUAGUGGAGCAUGUGGUUUAAUUCGAAGAUACGCGCAGAACCUUACCAACACUUGACAUGUUCGUCGCGACUCUAAGAGAUUAGAGUUUUCGGUUCGGCCGGACGAAACACAGGUGCUGCAUGGCUGUCGUCAGCUCGUGUCGUGAGAUGUUGGGUUAAGUCCCGCAACGAGCGCAACCCUCACUUUUAGUUGCCAUCAUUAAGUUGGGCACUCUGAAAGAACUGCCAGUGAUAAGCUGGAGGAAGGUGGGGAUGACGUCAAGUCCUCAUGGCCCUUACGUGUUGGGCUACACACGUGCUACAAUGGUAUCUACAACAGGAAGCAAAACUGCGAAGUUAAGCAAAUCCCUAAAAGAUACCUCAGUUCGGAUUGCACUCUGCAACUCGAGUGCAUGAAGCUGGAAUUACUAGUAAUCGUGGAUCAGCGUGCCACGGUGAAUGCGUUCCCGGGUCUUGUACUCACCGCCCGUCA
rnacentral:rRNA from 1 species